UGGCGGCCGUGGGUAAUAUUGCAAGUCGUACGCUUCUUUUUCCCCCGGAGCUUGCUCCCCCGGGAAAAAGAGGAGUGGCGAACGGGUGAGUAACACGUGGGUAACCUGCCCAUCAGAAGGGGAUAACACUUGGAAACAGGUGCUAAUACCGUAUAACAAUCUAAACCGCAUGGUUUUGAAUUGAAAGGCGCUUUCGGGUGUCGCUGAUGGAUGGACCCGCGGUGCAUUACCUAGUUGGUGAGGUAACGGCUCACCAAGGCCACGAUGCAUAGCCGACCUGAGAGGGUGAUCGGCCACAUUGGGACUGAGACACGGCCCAAACUCCUACGGGAGGCAGCAGUAGGGAAUCUUCGGCAAUGGACGAAAGUCUGACCGAGCAACGCCGCGUGAGUGAAGAAGGUUUUCGGAUCGUAAAACUCUGUUGUUAGAGAAGAACAAGGAUGAGAGUAACUGUUCAUCCCUUGACGGUAUCUAACCAGAAAGCCACGGCUAACUACGUGCCAGCAGCCGCGGUAAUACGUAGGUGGCAAGCGUUGUCCGGAUUUAUUGGGCGUAAAGCGAGCGCAGGCGGUUUCUUAAGUCUGAUGUGAAAGCCCCCGGCUCAACCGGGGAGGGUCAUUGGAAACUGGGAGACUUGAGUGCAGAAGAGGAGAGUGGAAUUCCAUGUGUAGCGGUGAAAUGCGUAGAUAUAUGGAGGAACACCAGUGGCGAAGGCGGCUCUCUGGUCUGUAACUGACGCUGAGGCUCGAAAGCGUGGGGAGCAAACAGGAUUAGAUACCCUGGUAGUCCACGCCGUAAACGAUGAGUGCUAAGUGUUGGAGGGUUCCGCCCUUCAGUGCUGCAGCUAACGCAUUAAGCACUCCGCCUGGGGAGUACGACCGCAGGUUGAACUCAAAGAAUUGACGGGGGCCCGCACAAGCGGUGGAGCAUGUGGUUUAUUCGAAGCAACGCGAA
rnacentral:rRNA from 1 species